CAUAGAGUCAAGUGAAAGGUGCAAACAAGUGCAGAUAAACAUUAAGAGACAAAUGCAGCUGAUUCCCAGUGAAGUGGAUAGAAGUGGGGAAAGUUUAAUGGAACACAGGAAACAAAGGAACAAAACUUAACCUGUUUUUACCACUACAACACUUGUAGACUGAAUUGAUCCCUCCAGUAUCCGUGCUAAGGGUGAAGAGCUGGUCCGCUCUUCCACGGAUGGAAUCCGCAUUGUUCCUCCUGAAUCCGAGGUUCGAUAGCUGGUCGGAGUCUCCUUUCCAGCACCUUGGAGUAAGCAUUCCCAGGGAGGCUGAGCAGUGGGAUACCCCAAUCACUGGAGCACACUCUGCAGUCCCCCUUUUUAAAAAUGGGAACCGCCACCCCUCUCUGUCACUCAAUAGGCAUUGUCCCCGACUUCCACAUGACAUUUAAGAGACAUGUCAGCCAUGACAGCCCAACAACCUCCAGAGCCUUCAGCGUUUCAGGGCGGAUCUCAUCCGCUCCCGGAGUGUCCUAACUGCCUCACUGGCCUCUGCCAGGGAGAUGGCUCUCGACCCCUCCGAAUCCUCCGGCCCUGCCUCCUCCGUGAAGGGCGUGUCAGUCGGGUUAAGGAGCUCUUCAAAGUGUUCUUUCCACUGUCCAAUCACAUCCUCAGUUGAGGUCAGAACCCUCCCUUCCCUGCUGAAAACAGCCUGGAUGACGCCCUUUGACCUCUUUGAGGCCAUGCACUAACUGAGGUUUACUAUAUUGGAGUGAAACAUUUUGUGGAGAAUCCCUUUAAAUACAACUUGAAAUCUCUUGAAA